rnacentral:rRNA from 1 species
GACGAACGCUGGCGGCGUGCUUAACACAUGCAAGUCGAACGGAAAGGCCCUGCUCUUGUGGGGUUCUUGAGUGGGGAACGCGUGAGUAUCACGUGUGUAUCCUGUCCUUGUCUUUCGGAUAUCAUCAGGAAACUGGGGCUAAUAUCGGAUAGGAUCUCUUGCUCCGUGGUGGGCGAUGGAAAGUUUCGGCGGUUGGGGCUGGACUCGCGGCUUAUCAGCUUGUUGGUGGGGUAGUGGUUUACCAAGCCUGCGACGGGUAGCCCGCCUGGGAGGGUGACCGGGGUCCAUGGGACUACGGUAGGGACCAGUCGGGAACGGGCGGCAACGGGGGGGAGCAUUGCAGAAUGGGCGGGAGCGUGAUGCGGCAGCCCCGGGUGCGGGAUGACGGCCUUCGGGUUGAGAACCGCUUUCGCCUGAGACGAAGCGUGAGUGACGGUAACGGGUAAAGAAGCACCGGCUAACUACGUG